rnacentral:rRNA from 1 species
AACGAACGCUGGCGGCAUGCCUAACACAUGCAAGUCGAACGAGACCUUCGGGUCUAGUGGCGCACGGGUGCGUAACGCGUGGGAACCUGCCCUUAGGUUCGGAAUAACUCCCCGAAAGGGGUGCUAAUACCGGAUAAUGUCUUCGGACCAAAGAUUUAUCGCCUUUGGAUGGGCCCGCGUUGGAUUAGCGAGUUGGUAGGGUAAAAGCCUACCAAGGCGACGAUCCAUAGCUGGUCUGAGAGGAUGAUCAGCCACACUGGGACUGAGACACGGCCCAGACUCCUACGGGAGGCAGCAGUGGGGAAUAUUGGACAAUGGGCGAAAGCCUGAUCCAGCAAUGCCGCGUGAGUGAUGAAGGCCUUAGGGUUGUAAAGCUCUUUUACCCGAGAUGAUAAUGACAGUACCGGGAGAAUAAGCACCGGCUAACUCCGUG